UGGCUACUGGGACCCCAAUUAUGCCCAGAACCAAUGGGGUUACACCUUACAGGAGCAGGCAAAUGAAUACUGGACUGAUUUGAGAACAAAUGCACAGUAUUACAUGGACAUGGGAAACCUGGUGUUUGACCGUUCUCUGGCUGAUGAGACCAAUAGGCUCUACAUGGACAUGCUGAGGGAUGUAAGAGCACAGCUGGAUGCAC